rnacentral:rRNA from 1 species
AGAGUUUGAUCAUGGCUCAGGAUGAACGCUAGCUACAGGCUUAACACAUGCAAGUCGAGGGGCAGCAUUAGAUUAGCUUGCUAAUUUAGAUGGCGACCGGCGCACGGGUGAGUAACGCGUAUCCAACCUUCCCCCUGCUCAGGGAUAGCCCGGUGAAAACCGGAUUAAGACCUGAUAGUUUCACUAGAUGGCAUCUGACGGUGAAUAAAGGUUUCGGCAAGGGAUGGGGAUGCGUCUGAUUAGCUUGUUGGCGGGGUAACGGCCCACCAAGGCGACGAUCAGUAGGGGUUCUGAGAGGAAGGUCCCCCACAUUGGAACUGAGACACGGUCCAAACUCCUACGGGAGGCAGCAGUGAGGAAUAUUGGUCAAUGGGCGGAAGCCUGAACCAGCCAAGUAGCGUGCAGGAAGACGGCCCUAUGGGUUGUAAACUGCUUUUGUGCGGGAAUAAAGUCAGGGACGCGUCCCUGUUUGCAUGUACCGCAAGAAUAAGGACCGGCUAAUUCCGUGCCAGCAGCCGCGGUAAUACGGAAGGUCCGGGCGUUAUCCGGAUUUAUUGGGUUUAAAGGGAGCGUAGGCCGUCCUUUAAGCGUGUUGUGAAAUGUAGGCGCCCAACGUCUGCACUGCGGCGCGAACUGGAGGACUUGAGUACGCGGGAAGCAGGCGGAAUUCGUCGUGUAGCGGUGAAAUGCUUAGAUAUGACGAAGAACUCCGAUUGCGAAGGCAGCCUGCUGUAGCGCCACUGACGCUGAUGCUCGAAAGCGUGGGUAUCGAACAGGAUUAGAUACCCUGGUAGUCCGCACGGUAAACGAUGGAUGCCCGCUGUUUGCGAUAUAGUGUGAGCGGCCAAGCGAAAGCGUUAAGCAUCCCACCUGGGGAGUACGCCGGCAACGGUGAAACUCAAAGGAAUUGACGGGGGCCCGCACAAGCGGAGGAACAUGUGGUUUAAUUCGAUGAUACGCGAGGAACCUUACCCGGGCUUGAACUGCCGGCGAACGAUACAGAGAUGUUGAGGCCCUUCGGGGCGCCGGUGGAGGUGCUGCAUGGUUGUCGUCAGCUCGUGCCGUGAGGUGUCGGCUUAAGUGCCAUAACGAGCGCAACCCCUCUCUUCAGUUGCCAUCACUUCGGGUGGGCACUCUGGAGACACUGCCACCGUAAGGUGUGAGGAAGGUGGGGAUGACGUCAAAUCAGCACGGCCCUUACGUCCGGGGCUACACACGUGUUACAAUGGGUGGUACAGAGCGUCGGCCGCCGGCAACGUCGGUCCAAUCGUGAAAUCCAUCCUCAGUUCGGACUGGGGUCUGCAACCCGACCCCACGAAGCUGGAUUCGCUAGUAAUCGCGCAUCAGCCAUGGCGCGGUGAAUACGUUCCCGGGCCUUGUACAUACCGCCCGUCAAGCCAUGAAAGCCGGGGGCGCCUGAAGUCCGUGACCGCGAGGGCCGGCCUAGGGUGAAACCGGUGAUUGGGGCUAAGUCGUAACAAGGUAGCCGUA